AUGCAACAUUGAUCUGCAAUUGAACCUGAUUGUUGCCAGACGGCGCCCAGCAGGUGGCCUUGAGGCAUAAUCAAUUUAUCAGCAACUUUAAUCGACAAGGACCUCUGCAAUAAAGACAGACAGUGUGUCCUCAGGUGAAGAUGAGUUAUAGUGGUCACAGCGAUGCUGCUGAUAGAUGAAGGUGAACUCAGCUCCGGCCUGCACCGGGAGACUUUAGAGGACACAGAGGCUGCCAUCCAUCCUCCCAGCCACCUACAUACCGCUAAACUUUGACUGCGCACUCCGUAGUGCAUACUGGAAUUUCUAUUGUGCGCUGUGUAGUUCUAUGAAGUGCCUUGGUACACAAACACACUGUAGUAUCCUGCUACGCCAUACAUUGAGAAAUUUCUGAAUAAACAGUAAUUCAGUGUG